GUGGGGAAUAUUGGACAAUGGGCGAAAGCCUGAUCCAGCCAUGCCGCGUGUGUGAAGAAGGUCUUCGGAUUGUAAAGCACUUUAAGUUGGGAGGAAGGGCAGUAAGUUAAUACCUUGCUGUUUUGACGUUACCGACAGAAUAAGCACCGGCUAACUUCGUGCCAGCAGCCGCGGUAAUACGAAGGGUGCAAGCGUUAAUCGGAAUUACUGGGCGUAAAGCGCGCGGAGGUGGUUUUGUAAGUUGGAGGUGAAAUCCCCGGGCUCAACCUGGGAACUGCCUCCAAAACUGCAUGACUAGAGUACGGUAGAGGGUAGUGGAAUUUCCUGUGUAGCGGUGAAAUGCGUAGAUAUAGGAAGGAACACCAGUGGCGAGGGCGACUACCUGGACUGAUACUGACACUGAGGUGCGAAAGCGUGGGGAGCAAACAGGAUUAGAUACCCUUGUAGUCC
rnacentral:rRNA from 1 species